ACCUCCACUUGCGGGGAAACCCUCUAUCUUUCUGAUGUCAUGCAGCAUUUACAAAUAAUGCGGUGAGCUCACCCCUCGCGUCACGUGGCAUGACGUCAGUCCCGUAUCGUUCCGAGAAGACGCGAAAGUUUCCGAACCAUGUGGAAUGACGCAUCGGGGUUGCCCGGAAAUGGCAAGAGGAAUAAUAAAACACCGGUGAAGGGAAGCCCCAGUCCCGAACAGAUAUUUCUCUAUGGCAAGGAGCGACAUUCUGCGCAGACUUCAGUAUCAUGUCAAGAUGCAGAACAUCGAUGGCUGUCUUCUUAUUUGUAGCGUCAUGUAGUCUGGUGGAAGUUUACUGAUGUUUCAGAGGUCCUUGCCACCUCCAAUCAGGAAACUCUUACCGAACUACAUGACGCUACAACCCAGAAGGCAGCCACCUUCGUACUCACUGCCACGAAAACCUCAGAUCCGACUUCGUAAAACAUCAUUUAGAAUAUGCACAGUCAUGUGAUGUGCUGUAUUGAUUGAUGACCUAAUAAAGGAUGCGGAGAGAGGGGAGGGGGGAGAAAAUUGGAAGAAAACAAAAGCACACCAGUUCAUCUGAACUAAUAAAGAAUCAGUUUAUUUCAUGGUUCAUGUUUUGCCCCGAUACCUUCUGCUUUGCUUAUUGGUGUCACGGAAGUGACGCUUCUCACGUCCGACUAAAA